rnacentral:lncRNA from 1 species
GUAUGUCCAUGACAUCACCUCCUCUUCUAGCUUCGAGGUCUCCGAGAAGCAAUGUUGUUAUCAGUCAAUACCAACGCAAGAAAAUGAAAAUUUGUCGCAUCACAUCCGCUAUGAAUUCCAAUUGUUGUUCGCGAGGCAAAUGAUUCAUCGGCCCUUGGAGCCAACGGUAGUGACCAACACCUUCAACCUCUGACCAAGCGUGGACUUCUGUGUCUUCAUUGUGAAACUGUCCUCCAAACACACCUU